rnacentral:rRNA from 1 species
GAUGAACGCUGGCGGCGUGCCUAAUACAUGCAAGUCGAGCGAACGGACGAGAAGCUUGCUUCUCUGAUGUUAGCGGCGGACGGGUGAGUAACACGUGGAUAACCUACCUAUAAGACUGGGAUAACUUCGGGAAACCGGAGCUAAUACCGGAUAAUAUGUUGAACCGCAUGGUUCAAAAGUGAAAGACGGUUUUGCUGUCACUUAUAGAUGGAUCCGCGUUGCAUUAGCUAGUUGGUAAGGUAACGGCUUACCAAGGCAACGAUGCGUAGCCGACCUGAGAGGGUGAUCAGUCACACUGGAACUGAGACACGGUCCAGACUCCUACGGGAGGCAGCAGUAGGGAAUCUUCCGCAAUGGGCGAAAGCCUGACGGAGCAACGCCGCGUGAGUGAUGAAGGUCUUCGGAUCGUAAAACUCUGUUAGUAGGGAAGAACAUAUGUGUAAGUAACUGUGCAUGUCUUGACGGUACCUAAUGAGAAAGCCCCGGCUAACUACGUG